GAAGAAGGUUCCUGCAGCGACACCGAGCAGACCGACAGUCAGACCCACUCCACAGAAGACUGCAGGUCCAAUACUGGGCUGCUGCACCUCCACAUCUGGAGAGAGAGACAGAGGUUAACUCCACAUCUGGAGAGAGACACAGAGGUUAACUCCACAUCUGGAGACACAAAGGUUAACUCCACAUCUGGAGACAGAGACAGAGGUUAACUCCACAUCUGGAGACAGACACAGAGGUUAACUCCACAUCUGGAGACACAAAGGUUAACUCCACAUCUGGAGACAGAGACACAGAGGUUAACUCCACAUCUGGAGACAGACAGAUGUUGUGUCUCACCCCAGAUUCUG